rnacentral:rRNA from 1 species
GAUCAUGGCUCAGGAUGAACGCUAGCGGCAGGCUUAACACAUGCAAGUCGAGGGGCAGCGGGAUGUAGCAAUACAUUGCCGGCGACCGGCGGAUGGGUGCGUAACGCGUAUGCAACCUACCUUAUACAGGGGAAUAACCUUUCGAAAGGGAGACUAACACCCCAUAGUAUUGAUUUAAGGCAUCUUAGAUUAAUUAAAUAUUUAUAGGUAUAAGAUGGGCAUGCGUAUGAUUAGCUAGUUGGUAAGGUAACGGCUUACCAAGGCGACGAUCAUUAGGGGUUCUGAGAGGAAGGUCCCCCACACUGGUACUGAGACACGGACCAGACUCCUACGGGAGGCAGCAGUGAGGAAUAUUGGUCAAUGGGCGCAAGCCUGAACCAGCCAUGCCGCGUGCAGGGAAAGACGGCCUUAUGGGUUGUAAACUGCUUUUACAUAAGACUAACCGUAUAUUUGCGAAUAUACCUGAAUGUAUUAUGAGAAUAAGGAUCGGCUAACUCCGUGCCAGCCGCAGC